UCGAACGAAGCUCUUGGCUGGGUGCUGUUGUGCUGGCCCUCUGGGGCAAUGUGCACGCUCGUCUAGUCACCUGUUUCUUUUGUUUCCACCUGUGCACUGUCUGUAGACACACACUUCUGUGUCUAUGAUAUUAUAUAUCAAACACACAUGUUUAUGAUGCAUAUAUGUUGUUGGCAUUUUUUAAUAUAAUA
rnacentral:misc_RNA from 1 species